GUGCGAAUAUAUUCUCGCUGGAUUGGUCUGUCUGUGAUCAGCUCCGGGCUAGACAUUCGCUAGAGUAAAACUAGGCCGUGUCCUCAGUACUGGCCCAUUAUCCAGUUCUGAUGCUUAAAGGCUAGUUACACUU